UACGAAGGGUGCAAGCGUUACUCGGAAUUACUGGGCGUAAAGGGUGCGUAGGUGGUUGUUUAAGUCUGCUGUGAAAGCCCCGGGCUCAACCUGGGAAUGGCAGUGGAUACUGGACAGCUAGAGUGCGGUAGAGGGUAGUGGAAUUCCCGGUGUAGCAGUGAAAUGCGUAGAGAUCGGGAGGAACACCAGUGGCGAAGGCGGCUCUCUGGGACGGUACUGACGCUGAGGAGCGAAAGCGUGGGGAGCGAACAGG
rnacentral:rRNA from 1 species